GAUGAACGCUGGCGGCGUGCCUAACACAUGCAAGUCGAACGGUUAAGGCGGCUUCGGCCGCGAAUAAAGUGGCGAACGGGUGAGUAGCGCGUGACCGACCUUCCCCCCGCACCGGGCCAACCUCGGGAAACCACGGCUGAUCCCGGGUACUCCGAGGCCCUCGCAUGGGGGCCCCGGGAAAGCUCCGGCGGCGGGGGAUGGGGUCGCGUCCCAUCAGGUAGUAGGCGGGGCAACGGCCCACCGAGCCGACGACGGGUAGCCGGGUUGAGAGACCGACCGGCCACAUUGGGACUGAGAUACGGCCCAGACUCCUACGGGAGGCAGCAGUGGGGAAUUUUGCGCAAUGGGGGCAACCCUGACGCAGCAACGCCGCGUGCGGGACGACGGCCUUCGGGUUGUAAACCGCUUUCAGCAGGGAAGAACCUAAGACGGUACCUGCAGAAGAAGCCCCGGCUAACUACGUGCCAGCCGCCGCAGUAA
rnacentral:rRNA from 1 species